rnacentral:rRNA from 1 species
CCUACGGGGUGCUGCAGUCGAGAAUCAUUCACAAUGGGGGAAACCCUGAUGGUGCGACGCCGCGUGGGGGAAUGAAGGUCUUCGGAUUGUAAACCCCUGUCAUGUGGGAGCAAAUUAAAAAGAUAGUACCACAAGAGGAAGAGACGGCUAACUCUGUGCCAGCAGCCGCGGUAAUACAGAGGUCUCAAGCGUUGUUCGGAAUCACUGGGCGUAAAGCGUGCGUAGGCUGUUUCGUAAGUCGUGUGUGAAAGGUGCGGGCUCAACCCGCGGACGGCACCUGAUACUGCGAGACUAGAGUAAUGGAGGGGGAACCGGAAUGCUCGGUGUAGCAGUGAAAUGCGUAGAUAUCGAGAGGAACACUCGUGGCGAAGGCGGGUUCCUGGACAUUAACUGACGCUGAGGCACGAAGGCCAGGGGAGCGAAAGGGAUUAGAUACCCCAGUAGUC